rfam:Schistosoma curassoni strain Dakar, Senegal genome assembly, scaffold: SCTD_scaffold0001053
AUCCAGCUGACGGGUCUCAAACAGGAAGAAACGCGCGUCCUGAAU